rnacentral:rRNA from 1 species
UACGUAGGGCGCAAGCGUUGUCCGGAAUUAUUGGGCGUAAAGAGCUCGUAGGCGGCUUGUCACGUCGAUUGUGAAAGCCCGGGGCUUAACCCCGGGUCUGCAGUCGAUACGGGCAGGCUAGAGUGUGGUAGGGGAGAUCGGAAUUCCUGGUGUAGCGGUGAAAUGCGCAGAUAUCAGGAGGAACACCGGUGGCGAAGGCGGCGACCUGGGUAGAUACUGACGCUGAGGCGCGAAAGCGUGGGGAGCAAACAGG